rnacentral:rRNA from 1 species
AACGAACGCUGGCGGCAGGCUUAACACAUGCAAGUCGAACGCCCCGCAAGGGGAGUGGCAGACGGGUGAGUAACGCGUGGGAACAUACCCUUUCCUGCGGAAUAGCUCCGGGAAACUGGAAUUAAUACCGCAUACGCCCUACGGGGGAAAGAUUUAUCGGGGAAGGAUUGGCCCGCGUUGGAUUAGCUAGUUGGUGGGUUAAAGGCCUACCAAGGCGACGAUCCAUAGCUGGUCUGAGAGGAUGAUCAGCCACAUUGGGACUGAGACACGGCCCAAACUCCUACGGGAGGCAGCAGUGGGGAAUAUUGGACAAUGGGCGCAAGCCUGAUCCAGCCAUGCCGCGUGAGUGAUGAAGGCCUUAGGGUUGUAAAGCUCUUUCACCGAUGAAGAUAAUGACGGUAGUCGGAGAAGAAGCCCCGGCUAACUUCGUG